UACGUAGGGUGCGAGCGUUGUCCGGAAUUAUUGGGCGUAAAGGGCUCGUAGGCGGUUUGUCGCGUCGGGAGUGAAAUCCACUGGCUUAACUGGUGGCCUGCUUUCGAUACGGGCAGACUGGAGGUAUGCAGGGGAGAACGGAAUUCCUGGUGUAGCGGUGAAAUGCGCAGAUAUCAGGAGGAACACCGGUGGCGAAGGCGGUUCUCUGGGCAUGUCCUGACGCUGAGGAGCGAAAGUGUGGGGAGCGAACAGG
rnacentral:rRNA from 1 species